GAGUUUGAUCAUGGCUCAGGAUGAACGCUAGCGGCACGCUUCAUACAUGCAAGUCGAGGGGCAGCAUAAAGUACUUGUACUUUGAUGGCGACCGGCGAACGGGUGCGUAACGCGUAUGCAACUUACCUUUUACUAGAGAAUAGCCAAGAGAAAUUUUGAUUAAUGCUCUAUACUCUUUUUAACUCACAUGAGUUUUUAAGAAAAGCUCCGGCGGUAAAAGAUGGGCAUGCGUCCUAUUAGCUUGUAGGUGAGGUAACGGCUCACCUAAGCUCCGAUAGGUAGGGGUCCUGAGAGGGAGAUCCCCCACACUGGUACUGAGACACGGACCAGACUUCUACGGAAGGCAGCAGUAAGGAAUAUUGGACAAUGGAGGAAACUCUGAUCCAGCGAUGCCGCGUGAAGGAAGACGGCCCUAUGGGUUGUAAACUUCUUUUAUACAGGAAGAAACCUUUCCACGUGUGGAAAGCUGACGGUACUGUAAGAAUAAGGAUCGGCUAACUCCGUGCCAGCAGCCGCGGUAAUACGGAGGAUCCAGGCGUUAUCCGGAAUUAUUGGGUUUAAAGGGUCCGCAGGCUGUUUGUUAAGUCAGGGGUGAAAUCCUACCGCUCAACGGUAGAACUGCCUUUGAUACUGGCAAACUUGAGUUAUUGUGAAGUAGUUAGAAUGUGUAGUGUAGCGGUGAAAUGCAUAGAUAUUACACAGAAUACCAAUUGCGAAGGCAGAUUACUAACAAUUAACUGACGCUGAGGGACGAAAGCGUGGGUAGCGAACAGGAUUAGAUACCCUGGUAGUCCACGCCGUAAACGAUGGUCACU
rnacentral:rRNA from 1 species